rnacentral:rRNA from 1 species
AACGAACGCUGGCGGCAUGCCUAACACAUGCAAGUCGAACGAGACCUUCGGGUCUAGUGGCGCACGGGUGCGUAACGCGUGGGAACCUGCCCUUAGGUUCGGAAUAACUCCCCGAAAGGGGUGCUAAUACCGGAUAAUGUCUUCGGACCAAAGAUUUAUCGCCUUUGGAUGGGCCCGCGUUGGCUUAGCUGGUUGGUAGGGUAAAAGCCUACCAAGGCGACGAUCCAUAGCUGGUCUGAGAGGAUGAUCAGCCACACUGGGACUGCGACACGGCCCAGACGCCUACGGGAGGCAGCAGUGGGGAAUAUUGGGCGAGGGGCGAAAGCCUGACCCAGCAAUGCCGCGUGAGUGAUGCAGGCCUUAGGGUUGUAAAGCUCUUUUACCCGGGAUGAUAAUGACAGUACCGGGUGAAUAAGCUCCGGCUAACUCCGUG